CAAUAGCGUAUAUUAAAGUUGUUGCAGUUAAAAAGCUCGUAGUUGAAUUUUUGCUUGCCGCCGAUGUCGGAACUUCCGUACGUUCGGCGGCGUGCAUCCUUGGGUGGAACCUGUGUGGCAUUAGGUUGUCGUGCAGGGGAUGCUCAUCGCUUACUGUGAAAAAAUUAGAGUAUUCAAAGCAGGCUUACGCCGUUGAAUAUAUUAGCAUGGAAUAAUAAGAUAGGACCUUGGUACUAUUUUGUUGGUUUGCGCACCGAGGUAAUGAUUAACAGGGACAGUUGGGGGUAUUCGUAUUCCAUUGUCAGAGGUGAAAUUCUUGGAUUUCUGGAAGACGAACUACUGCGAAAGCAUUUACCAAGGAUGUUUUCAUUAA
rnacentral:rRNA from 1 species